UGGGGAAUAUUGCACAAUGGGCGCAAGCCUGAUGCAGCCAUGCCGCGUGUGUGAAGAAGGCCUUCGGGUUGUAAAGCACUUUCAGCGAGGAGGAAGGUGGUGAGCUUAAUACGCUCAUCAAUUGACGUUACUCGCAGAAGAAGCACCGGCUAACUCCGUGCCAGCAGCCGCGGUAAUACGGAGGGUGCAAGCGUUAAUCGGAAUUACUGGGCGUAAAGCGCACGCAGGCGGUUUGUUAAGUCAGAUGUGAAAUCCCCGGGCUCAACCUGGGAACUGCAUUUGAAACUGGCAAGCUAGAGUCUCGUAGAGGGGGGUAGAAUUCCAGGUGUAGCGGUGAAAUGCGUAGAGAUCUGGAGGAAUACCGGUGGCGAAGGCGGCCCCCUGGACGAAGACUGACGCUCAGGUGCGAAAGCGUGGGGAGCAAACAGGAUUAGAUACCCCUGGUAGUCCAGCGCUGUAAACGGUGUCGAUUUUGGAGGUUGUGCCCUUGAGGCGUGGCUUCCGGAGCUAACGCGUUAAAUCGACCGCCUGGGGAGUACGGCCGCAAGGUUAAAACUCAAAGGAAUUGACGGGGUCUAGCUG
rnacentral:rRNA from 1 species